GUGAGCGAGGAGGAGGGGGAAUUCAGGAAAGGGAGGGUUGGGGGAAGAGGCUGUCUACCCUCGUCUGCCCGCCCCAGCCCCCUCCUGCCUUGGCCCGCGCCCCCGCCCACUCCACUCUGAGCGCACGACAGCGGGCAAAACAACACGUGACCACAGCCUCACGCGGCGGCCGCUGCGGAUCCUGCUACCGGCGCAAUGGAGGGGCGCGAGCGGCCACCAGUAGAGACCGAAAAACUUUAGAAAAAGAAAAGCUCAUACCUAGAACAAAGGACCACGCUGAAUGCAUAUUCUAGAGCACAUUUCACAUCCCUCGCGUCAACAAGAAGAAGAAGAGGAGCUUUGAUGCAUUUCAGUCUACAAGUUGACAUCACAAAAGUGCUGGAAGCAGCCGUGGUUUCGGAAGGGAGCUAGAGGCAGAACGAGUGUGGAUGCUGAGAGAUCCCUGACUGUGACUGCUACAUAUUUCAGCUGCGUAGUCACAUAUAUACAAGAUUCCCUGCACUUACAACCAAAAUGAUAACAAAUGCUCUCAUUUGGGAUUUUGUUUGAUAGUCAUUAGGAUAUUUUAUAAGUCUUUCCAAGCACAAGGUUUUUUUCUUUUUUUUUUUAAAGAGAAAUGUGACAAAUAAGGCAACAUAUUUGAAAGUGCUUUGAGUAAUAACAUGACAUUGAAAAUAUCAAAAUGAAUAUUAAAUGAAAUGGGAAAAUACUGGAGAUUUUUAAAUCCUCAUGUCCUUUUUCCUGUACAUAUAGUUUUUACAUAGAGCAGUAGGCUUACAAUUUAUAUAAUUUUGCAUCCUGUUCUUUUCACUGAACAUUAUACAAUAUUUCCCCAUAUUAUUAUGCAUCAGCAUAAAUAUCAUUUAAAAUACAACAUAUUAUCCAACACAAUCGAUGAAUAUUAAUGUAAUUAAUCAUCUGCUUUGGGGCAUUUAGGUUGUUUUCAUUUUUUUCAGUAUUAUAAAUAACAUGUCAAUGAAUAUCUUCUACCUACAGCCUUUUAAAAUUCCCAUUGGGUAAAAACUGAGCACUGGAAUUAGUAGGCUAAAAGAUAUGAAUAUUUAAUACAUUAUUUUUCAAAAAUAUUAUAUUAGUUUACCCUGUCACCAGACUGAUUGUCAGCAUUGGACAUUCUUAUUUUUAAAAAAUUAGAGAUAAGAUGGGUGAAACGGUAUUCCACUAUUCUUUUUUUUUUUUUUUUUGAGAUGGAGUCUCAUCCUGUCACCGAGGCUGGAGUGCAGUGACGUGAUCUCAGCUCCCUGCAACCUCGGUCUCCCGGGUUCAAGCAAUUCUCCUGCCUCAGCCUCCCAAGUAGCUGGGAUUACAAGUGCCCGCCACCAUGCCCAGCUAUUUUUUGUAUUUUUAGUAGAGAAGGGUUUUCACCAUGUUGGCCAGGCUAGUCUCGAACUCCUGACCUUGUGAUCCACCUGCCUCAGCCUCCCAAAGUGCUGGGAUUACAGGCCUGAGCUACUGCACCUGGCCUCCACUAUUCUUUCAAUGUGCUUUUUUUUUUUAACUAGUGAGAUUAAACAUUUAUAUAUAUUCACUGACAUUAUAUUAUUUCCUAUGUCCUUUGUGUUGUCUAUUGUAUUCUUAGUAUUUUCUUCUUAUGUGUAACUUGUUUAUGUAAUAAAUACAUUAAAACUUUGUGGUAUUUGUUGCAAGUUUUUUUUCCCCAGUCUGUUGACUUUAAAAAUCACAUUUAACUUGAUUUUCUUCUAUUUUGAAAGAUAUGUAAAUUGGGCAUGAUGUGAUUUGUAGCACAGUUUGAAAGGGAG
rnacentral:lncRNA from 10 species